AUUGAACGCUGGCGGCAGGCCUAACACAUGCAAGUCGAGCGGAGCGGCGGACGGGUGAGUAAUGCUUAUGAAUCUGCCUGGUCGUGGGGGAUAACGACCGGAACCGGGCGCUAAUGCCGCAUACUAUCAGAUGAGCCUAGGUCGGAUUGGCUAGGUGGUGGGGUAAAGGCCAACCCAGGCGACGAUCCCGAGCUGGUCUGAGAGGAUGAUCAGUCACACUGGAACUGAGACACGGUCCAGACUCCUACGGGAGGCAGCAGUGGGGAAUAUUGGACAAUGGGCGAAAGCCUGAUCCAGCCAUGCCGCGUGUGUGAAGAAGGUCUUCGGAUUGUAAAGCACUUUAAGUUGGGAGGCGUUACCAGCAGAAGAAGCACCGGCUAACUUCGUGCCAGCCGCCGCGGUAAUUC
rnacentral:rRNA from 1 species